AUGAAAUCACGUAUCUCGGGUCUCCCGGAUAUGUUUCAUCCCAUACACCGUGAACUGUGGCCUCGGCCAUUUACACAAACUGUUAGUAAUGAAUGUAACAUCAUAACAAACAUA
rnacentral:misc_RNA from 1 species